AUUCCUUUCUUUGGUCUCUUCCAUGAGAAUCCAUUUCGAAGCAAAAAUCCAUAUGCUUUUUCUCUUAUUUGUUUGAAUUUUUCUGUAGACCAAUUCCCCUACUUAGUCAAGGUAUUCAAGUAAUGACCAAUAUCCAAUAAUUCUCCUUCAUAAGAUUCUUCAAGAAAUAGCUUGUCUUCUCUGUUGAGAUUUGAUAUUGAAUAGAAUUUCAAUCCGACGUCAUCAAUGUCUUCAACCAUUU
rnacentral:lncRNA from 1 species